UCAACCUGGGGCUCAUUGUGGGAGCCAUUCUGGGUGUCAUGGCUGCCAUCCUGCUGGUCUCUGGGAUCAUCUUCUUCAUCAUCCGCAGGAAACGGAGCGAGAAAGCAGCGUACGAAAAAACCCCAAGUGAGUGACUCCUCCCCUCUCUCUGUCUGACAUAUUUCCCCCCAAUAUGGAGCAGGAACAGGUUACAAACAGACUAGACUAAACCUGGUGGUGGCCUAGUUCUUAAGCCCAAGACCCUGAUGGAAAGCUCAAGCCUGUCUGCUCAGCCUGUCUGUGGACAGCAAGGGAUCCUUCAGGGCCAGAAAAGGCUGCAGAGAGACUGUCGGCUGAGGGAGGGGCUCCAAGAAGGAGCAGGAGGAAGAGCCGAGGGUGUGGGGAGAGAGGGAUCUCUGGGGGUUUAAUCUACUAGAACCUGAAGCUAAAGAUUUGGUUGGUUAGCUCUAGUCUGUGGGUGUUAGGAACCCACCAUUGCUCUCCCCCACUCCUUCUGCCUUCCUGCCCAGAUCGCACCCACCCCCGCUCUAGUCCCCUGCUGCCUCCAUGCCAUGCUGUGCCCAUCUCUCUUUGCCCUCCAGCAUCUGCUUCUCCCCCCACUGCUGUCCUUGAGCCCCCUUGCCUCUGGGCUCCCUGUCCCUGAACUCUUCCUAGGCCCCUACCCGUAUUUGGGAUGGGGUUGGAAGGAGGGAGGAGAAGGGCUGGGGGGAUGGGAUCUCCCUCCCCAGGAUCCUGACUCCUGUGCUUCCUCUCUUUUGCAGCAAAUGACCAGGGGUCCGACAGCUCCACCAAGGUUUCAUACCAGCCCAGUGUGUGAGAUGAGACCAGAAGGAGCCUGCCCAAGUUUGGCUGUGAUUUGCAGAGGCUCAGAGCCCCUCCUGUCCUUUAAUGCUGUUUAGGAUGUUCCUUAAUCCUGGCUCUCACCCAUCUAUUCUGACUACAGCUGUAACUUGAAUUUGAGAAUAAUCAUGUUUUUCUGAUGGAUUUUGGCUGAUUGUGCUUCGCAGCUGAUUUUCAGAAAUGUGCUUGUGUUAAUCAAAAUUGUGCCAGAUAUACACAACUAAAAGCUUUAAAAAGGGGAGGGGAGAUUGAGCAUGACUUGCAGCGAUUUUGAUGGUUUCUCUUGGUUCUUUGUUGCUGUGUUUUCCUUUACAAUCCCUUCCCCAGCAGAGAAUGAGGAGCUCCAGGGGGCAUUCAGACCCUCCCCGUGGCAAUGGCAGCUGCUGAGGCAGUUUCCUCCAGACCCUCUUUCUGUCCCGAUACCUUCAAGGCUCCAGUUCUCCAGCCUGGUUCAUGGAGCUCCACGUCCAGGACAACCAGCUGCCGUUCUCUGGGGCUCCACCCUGGAGCUCCCAUGAUGCCCUGGGGCAGUGAGUUGAGAAACAGGCUGGAGGGGGAGGAGGAAGCAGCUGAAGGGGGAAAUGGAGAAAGUGGGGAACUGAGAAAGAGGUAGAGAGGCUGAAGGGAUGGGGUAUAGCGACUCUUAUACAGGAGAUGAGAGGGACUGAUCCUGCUGACAGCCAAGGAGGAAGCCGGGAAGGAGAAGAGGCAGGUGAGGAGCUGCAUGGCCACAAUUUGAUCUGAAAUAAGGAGCCCCAUAUUUUUGGCUGCAGUUCAUGAGACUUCUAGCCUGGUCCCCACAGUCUUCUAGGAGGGGUGACCCAUUGAGAGUCAGACCACAUGGACUCUUCAAAGUAAACUGGUUUUGUUGCCUUCAAUUUGCCUAAUUUUUAUCUCGCCCAUUCUUGCUUUUCCACCUGUGGCCCUUGAGGAACAUACUCUGCCCAUUCUGCAAUUCCCACCGUCUUCCUUCCCUUCUCAUAGGCUGGCAUUCCUUAAGGAGACACUUUUCAAGAAAUAAGAAUGCAUAACUCUUUUAGGCCUCAAUGGAUUUGCUGCAUCUUGCUUUGAAGACACUGGAUGUAAUUGUUAUUAUUCCUUUUGCAAUAUUUGUUGGUCUGAAAUAAACAAGGGUGCCCCCCCUCUUCUUUAGUGCUUCUUUCCUUCUUAUCACAGGAGUUCCAGAGAUCUUGAAGUUCCUGAGAAUAUUCAGAGUUUGUAGCCUCUGGCAAAGAGGUGCCAAUAAUUGGUCUUCCAUUGCAAAGUGACUGAAGAACAAGUGUCCAAAGCGAGAUGGGGACAUAAUCUGUGGUUUUGCAGGGGUGGGCUUAAGUUACAUGAGGCCGCUGUGUUGCUGAAGCCAAGAGGGUGUGAAUCCUGCUCAGGGCCUGGGGGUGGGGAAAACCACCUGGAUGCUGCCUUUGGUUCCAGGGCGGAAGAAAGGAGGGUUGGGAAUAUAAUAAAAGGAAUGUGCAGAUAUCUGAGAUAUCAGUCUGAGAUAUCUGAGAUAUCUCAAGAUAUCUGAGAUAUCUUGAGAGCCAGUGUGGUGUAGUGGUUAAGAGCGGUAGUCACAUAAUCUGGGAAACCAGGUUCGCGUCUCCGCUCCUCCACAUGCAGCUGCUGGGUGACCUUGGGCCAGUCACACUUCUCUGAAGUCUCUCAGCCCCACUCACCUCACAGAGUGUUUGUUGUGGGGGAGGAAGGGAAAGGAGAAUGUUAGCCGCUUUGAGACUCCUGAAGGGGAGUGAAAGGCGGGAUAUCAAAUCCAAACUCCUCUUCUUCUUCUUCUUCAUCUGAUCUGGGGCAGGGGGUGGUGGGAAAUGACCAAGGUGGAGUUGCCCCAAAAGUCCGCAAACCCAGGAGGAAGUUCUCCCACUAAGAUGAAAAGAAGAUGACCAAAAUAUUUUAAAAUUUUAUCCCACUCUUCCUCCCAAAGGAGCUCAGGGCAGCAAACAUCAAAAUAUUAAAACAAUACCAUUCAAAAGAUUUAAAAUGAAAAUAAGCUAAUUUAAAACCACCUAAAAUCUCUUUAAAACAGUUGGAAUACCCUAGUGGCAUAUGGUUCAUGGACUUGUGGGACUAGCCUGAGACCUCCGGGUAUAGGGCUGUAUAUAAAAAUUAUUAUUAUUAUUAUUAUUAUUAUUAUUAUUAUUAUUAUUAUUAUUAUUAGCCUAG
rnacentral:lncRNA from 1 species